rnacentral:rRNA from 1 species
UACAGGGGGUGCAAACGUUGCUCGGAAUUACUGGGCGUAAAGGGCGCGUAGGCGGCACUGUUAGUCAGGCGUGAAAUUCCUGGGCUCAACCUGGGGACUGCGCUUGAUACGGCAGAGCUAGAGGAUGGAAGAGGCUCGCGGAAUUCCCAGUGUAGAGGUGAAAUUCGUAGAUAUUGGGAAGAACACCGGUGGCGAAGGCGGCGAGCUGGUCCAUUACUGACGCUGAGGCGCGACAGCGUGGGGAGCAAACAGG